rnacentral:rRNA from 1 species
GACGAACGCUGGCGGCGUGCUUAACACAUGCAAGUCGAACGGAAAGGCCCCUUUGGGGGUACUCGAGUGGCGCACGGGUGAGUAACACGGGAGUAACCUGCCCUUGACUUCGGGUUAACUUCAGGAAACUGGGGCUAAUACCGGAUAGGAAUCCUUGCUGCAUGGUGGGGGUUGGAAAGUUUCGGCGGUUUUUAGUGGAUUCGCGGCUUAUCAGCUUGUUGGUGGGGUAGUGGCUUACCAAGGCUUUGACGGGUAGCCGGCCUGAGAGGGGGACCGGCCACAAUGGGACUGAGAUACGGACCAGACUGCGACGGGUGGCAGAGGUGGGGAGUAUUGCACAAUGGGCGGAAGCCUGAUACAGAAGCGCCCCGUGCGGGAUGACGCCCUUCGGGUUGUAAACCGCUUUCAGCAGGGGCGGAGCUUGUGGUGACGGUACCUGCAGAAGAAGCACCGGCUAACUACGUG